AAUCAACGCUGGCGGCGUGCCUAACACAUGCAAGUCGAACGAGAAAGUGGAGCAAUCCAUGAGUAAAGUGGCGACCGGGUGAGUAACACGUGACUAACCUACCCUCGAGUGGGGAAUAACCUCGGGAAACCGAGGCUAAUACCGCAUAACAUCGCAAGAUCAAAGCAGAAAUGCGCUUGAGGAGGGGGUCGCGGCUGAUUAGCUAGUUGGUAGGGUAAUGGCCUACCAAGGCUAGAUCGGUAGCCGGCCUGAGAGGGCGCACGGCCACACUGGAACUGAAACACGGUCCAGACUCCUACGGGAGGCAGCAGUGGGGAAUUUUGCGCAAUGGGGGAAACCCUGACGCAGCAACGCCGCGUGGAGGAUGAAGUCCUUGGGACGUAAACUCCUUUUCGACCGGGAAGAUACUGACGGUACCGGAAGAAGAAGCACCGGCUAACUCUGUGCCAGCCGCCGCCGUAAC
rnacentral:rRNA from 1 species